AUGUGGAUUCAGCCACCAACAAAUUACCACAAACUCAAUGUGGACGCGGCCGUGUCACGCUCGGGCACGUUUGGCGCUGUUGGUGUGGUUUGCAGGGAUGAGAGGGGUUUGUUCAUGGGAGCGUCGGCUCUCGUUUUCAGGGGACUGCACAACCCACAGGUGCUAGAAGCACUAGCUGUUCAGGAGGCAUUAGCACUUUCAGAAGAUCUCUAUAUCAACCAUUUGCUGGUGGCCUCUGAUUGCAAGGUGGUGGUAGAUGCAAUCAGGCAGGGAAGCUCAGCAGAUUUUAGAGCCAUUGUCGAAGAAAUCAAGGCUAGAGCAACAAACUUUACUUCAUGUUCGUUUACUCAUGAGUAUAGGACCUCCAAUACGGAGGCCCAUAAUCUCGCAAAGCAUGCAUUAUCUUUAGGGUUUGGCCGACACACCUGGCUAGGCCAACCCGGCGAUCUUCUUUUUGUACCUAUGAACAUUAUGAUUCAGUAA
rnacentral:rRNA from 1 species